AUGGUGGCCAAGGCGAAGAUGAGCGCCAUGGAGUUGGAGAUGGAGAAGGCAACGAGAGACGGGGAGCUAGUGCUCGGCGGCGCCGGAGACGAGGAGGAGGAGGAGGACGUGGUGCUGCCGGGGUACCGGUUCCACCCCACCGACGAGGAGCUGGUCGCCUUCUACCUCCGCCGGAAGAUGGCCAGGAAGUCGCUCCGCAUCGAGGUCAUCCGGGAGAUGGACAUCUACAAGCACGACCCGUGGGAUCUCCCCAGUAAGCUCCAUCUCUCCAUGCACCAUUCAUCGUGCAAUUUCUUUUCUGGGACAAAGACUUUCUAUCUGACAGAGUGCAAUCGUCCACUUGCAAAUUACGCAGAGGCGAGCACGGUUGGUGGGGAGAAAGAGUGGUACUUCUUCUGCCUCAGGGGGAGGAAGUACCGGAACAGCAUCCGGCCCAACCGGGUCACCGGCUCCGGCUUCUGGAAGGCCACCGGCAUCGACCGGCCGAUCUACUCCGCCGGCAGCGGCGGCGCCAGUUCCGGCGUGUCCAUCGGGCUGAAGAAGUCGCUCGUCUACUACCGCGGCAGCGCCGGCAAGGGCACCAAGACUGACUGGAUGAUGCACGAGUUCCGCCUCCCGCCGGCCGCCGCCAACGCCUCCCCGAGCAUGCAGGAAGCGGAGGUGUGGACCAUCUGCAGGAUCUUCAGGAGGGCCAUCACCUACCGGAACCAGCAGCAGCCGUGGAGGCCGGCGCCCGCGCCGUCCUUCGCCGAUUCGAACUCCAACACGGGGAGCUUCGAGUCGUCCGAGGCCGGCGACGAAUACAUGAACUGCCUGCAGGCUCCGGCACCCGCCGCUCCAUGCAUCCCCCACCCCCAGCACCAGCAGCAGUACGUCAGUCGGACGGGCACGGUGGACAGCGGCAACUUCUUCUACGAGGACAACAUGCACAACCAGCAGUUCCAGGGGCAAUGGAACGCCGCACCCGCCGCCCCGGUGCCGGAGCAGAAACAGCAGAAUCCAUUGUCCACGGCCGUCGACUUCCACCAGAAUGACAAUAGCCACGCUGUCGCCGCGAACGAUUUUUACAAGGUUGAGGGGUACUUGGGGGAGAUCGCGAGGAUGUUGGAGGUCGCCGAUCCGGCAGGAUUUUACGACUACAGAUCAUACGGUUGA
rnacentral:rRNA from 1 species